AACGAACGCUGGCGGCAUGCCUAACACAUGCAAGUCGAACGAGACCUUCGGGUCUAGUGGCGCACGGGUGCGUAACGCGUGGGAACCUGCCCUUAGGUUCGGAAUAACUCCCCGGAAGGGGUGCUAAUACCGGAUAAUGUCCUCGGACCAAAGAUUUAUCGCCUUUGGAUGGGCCCGCGUUGGAUUAGCUAGUUGGUAGGGUAAAAGCCUACCAAGGCGACGAUCCAUAGCUGGUCUGAGAGGAUGAUCAGCCACACUGGGACUGAGACACGGCCCAGACUCCUACGGGAGGCAGCAGUGGGGAAUAUUGGACAAUGGGCGAAAGCCUGAUCCAGCAAUGCCGCGUGAGUGAUGAAGGCCUUAGGGUUGUAAAGCUCUUUUACCCGGGAUGAUAAUGACAGUACCGGGAGAAUAAGCUCCGGCUAACUCCGUG
rnacentral:rRNA from 1 species